UACAGAGGUCUCGAGCGUUAGGCGGAAUCACUGGGCUUAAAGCGUGUGUAGGCGGAUUGGUAAGUACCUUGUGAAAUCCCACGGCUCAACCGUGGAACUGCUCGGUAUACUGCCUGUCUUGUGCAACCUAGGGGCGAGCGGAACAGAUGGUGGAGCGGUGAAAUGCGUAGAUAUCCGGAGGAAGACCGGUGGCGAAGGCGGUCUGCUGGGCAGUUUCUGACACUGAGGCGCGACAGCGUGGGGAGCAAACAGG
rnacentral:rRNA from 1 species